GACAGAGGGUGCAAACGUUGUUCGGAAUCAUUGGGCGUAAAGCGGGCGUAGGCGGCCUUGUAAGUCAGGUGUGAAAGCCCCGAGCUCAACUCGGGAAGUGCACUUGAUACUGCUUGGCUUGAGUGUGGAAGAGGUGAGUGGAAUUCCAGGUGUAGUGGUGAAAUACGUAGAUAUCUGGAGGAACACCGGUGGCGAAAGCGGCUCACUGGUCCAACACUGACGCUGAAGCCCGAAAGCGUGGGGAUCAAACAGG
rnacentral:rRNA from 1 species